CCUACGGGUGGCAGCAGUAGGGAAUAUUGCUCAAUGGGGGAAACCCUGAAGCAGCAACGCCGCGUGGAGGAUGAAGGUUUUAGGAUUGUUAACUCCUUUUUUUAGAGAAGAUUAUGACGGUAUCUAACGAAUAAGCACCGGCUACCUCCGUUCCAGCAGCCGCGGUAAUACGGAGGGUGCCAGCGUUACUCGGAAUCACUGGGCGUAAAGAGUGCGUAGGCGGGGUAAUAAGUCAGAUGUGAAAUCCUGUAGCUUAACUACAGAACUGCAUUUGAAACUGGUACUCUGGAGUGUGGGAGAGGUAGGUGGAAUUCGUGGUGUAGGGGUAAAAUGCGUAGAGAUCAAGAGGAACACUGAUUGCGAAGGCGACUUGCUGGAACAUUACUGACGCUGAUGCACGAAAGCGUGGGGAGCAAACAGGAUUAGAUACCCUGGUAGUC
rnacentral:rRNA from 1 species